rnacentral:rRNA from 1 species
GAGAAGCCUGCGGCAGAUUAGCUAGUUGGUAGGGUAAUGGCCUACCAAGGCAACGAUCUGUAACCGGCCUGAGAGGGCGGUCGGUCACACUGACACUGACAUACGGGUCAGACUCCUACGGGAGGCAGCAGUCGGGAAUUUUGGGCAAUGGGCGAAAGCCUGACCCAGCAACGCCGCGUGAAGGAUGAAAUCCCUCGGGAUGUAAACUUCGCAAGAAUGGGAAGAAUAAGUGGGGGACAAUACCCCCCAUGAUGACGGUACCAUUUGUAAGCUCCGGCUAACUCCGUGCCAGCAGCCGCGGUAAUACGGGGGGAGCAAGCGUUGUUCGGAUUUACUGGGCGUAAAGGGCGCGUAGGCGGUCGUGACAAGUCACUUGUGAAAUCUCCGGGCUUAACUCGGAACGGUCAAGUGAUACUGUCGGACUAGAGUACAGAAGGGGCAACUGGAAUUCUCGGUGUAGCGGUGAAAUGCGUAGAUAUCGAGAGGAACACCUGCGGCGAAGGCGGGUUGCUGGGCUGAUACUGACGCUGAGGCGCGAAAGCCAGGGGAGCGAACGGGAUUAGAUACCCCGGUAGUCCUGGCCUUAAACGAUGAAUGCUUGGUGU